UCAGGACGAACGCUGGCGGCGUGCCUAAUACAUGCAAGUCGAGCGGACUCAACAGUUUCCUUCGGGAAACUGUUAGGUUAGCGGCGGACGGGUGAGUAAUACGUAGGUAACCUGCCCUUAAGACCGGGAUAACUCACGGAAACGUGGGCUAAUACCGGAUAGGCGAUUUCCUCGCAUGAGGGAAUCGGGAAAGGCGGAGCAAUCUGCCACUUAUGGAUGGACCUACGGCGCAUUAGCUAGUUGGUGGGGUAACGGCUCACCAAGGCGACGAUGCGUAGCCGACCUGAGAGGGUGAUCGGCCACACUGGGACUGAGACACGGCCCAGACUCCUACGGGAGGCAGCAGUAGGGAAUCUUCCGCAAUGGACGCAAGUCUGACGGAGCAACGCCGCGUGAGUGAUGAAGGUUUUCGGAUCGUAAAGCUCUGUUGCCAGGGAAGAACGCUAUGGAGAGUAACUGUUCCAUAGGUGACGGUACCUGAGAAGAAAGCCCCGGCUAACUACGUGCCAGCAGCCGCGGUAAUACGUAGGGGGCAAGCGUUGUCCGGAAUUAUUGGGCGUAAAGCGCGCGCAGGCGGUCAUGUAAGUCUGGUGUUUAAACCCGGGGCUCAACUCCGGGUCGCAUCGGAAACUGUGUGACUUGAGUGCAGAAGAGGAAAGUGGAAUUCCACGUGUAGCGGUGAAAUGCGUAGAGAUGUGGAGGAACACCAGUGGCGAAGGCGACUUUCUGGGCUGUAACUGAC
rnacentral:rRNA from 1 species